rnacentral:rRNA from 1 species
AGCACGGAGCUUGCUCUGGUGGCGAGUGGCGAACGGGUGAGUAAUAUAUCGGAACGUACCCUGGAGUGGGGGAUAACGUAGCGAAAGUUACGCUAAUACCGCAUACGAUCUAAGGAUGAAAGUGGGGGAUCGCAAGACCUCAUGCUCGUGGAGCGGCCGAUAUCUGAUUAGCUAGUUGGUAGGGUAAAAGCCUACCAAGGCAUCGAUCAGUAGCUGGUCUGAGAGGACGACCAGCCACACUGGAACUGAGACACGGUCCAGACUCCUACGGGAGGCAGCAGUGGGGAAUUUUGGACAAUGGGCGAAAGCCUGAUCCAGCAAUGCCGCGUGAGUGAAGAAGGCCUUCGGGUUGUAAAGCUCUUUUGUCAGGGAAGAAACGGUGAGAGCUAAUAUCUCUUGCUAAUGACGGUACCUGAAGAAUAAGCACCGGCUAACUACGUGCCAG